rnacentral:rRNA from 1 species
GACGAACGCUGGCGGCGUGCUUAACACAUGCAAGUCGAACGGUAAGGCCCUUCGGGGUACACGAGUGGCGAACGGGUGAGUAACACGUGGGUGAUCUGCCCUGCACUUCGGGAUAAGCCUGGGAAACUGGGUCUAAUACCGGAUAGAACUCCUGGCUUCAUGGUUGGGGGUGGAAAGCUUUUGCGGUGUGGGAUAGGCCCGCGGCCUAUCAGCUUGUUGGUGGGGUAAUGGCCUACCAAGGCGACGACGGGUAGCCGGCCUGAGAGGGUGACCGGUCACACUGGGACUGAGAUACGGCCCAGACUCCUACGGGAGGCAGCAGUGGGGAAUAUUGCACAAGGGGCGCAAGUCUGGUGCAGCGACGCCGCGUGAGGGAUGACGGCCUUCGGGUUGUAAACCUCUUUCAGCUAUGACGAAGCGCAAGUGACGGUAGUAGCAGAAGAAGGACCGGCCAACUACGUGCCAGCAGCCGCCGUAA